CUUUCAAGACAAGAGCAACCGUUACGUGGUUUGAAAGAUAAGUAAGUAUAUACUGAAACUAAUAGCUCU
rnacentral:ribozyme from 1 species